UACGUAGGGGGCAAGCGUUGUCCGGAUUUAUUGGGCGUAAAGAGCGUGUAGGCGGCCAGACAGGUCCGUUGUGAAAACUCGAGGCUCAACCUCGAGACGUCGAUGGAAACCGUUUGGCUAGAGUCCGGAAGAGGAGAGUGGAAUUCCUGGUGUAGCGGUGAAAUGCGCAGAUAUCAGGAGGAACACCGGUGGCGAAGGCGGGACUCUGGGCCGAUACUGACGCUGAGGAGCGAAAGCGUGGGGAGCGAACAGG
rnacentral:rRNA from 1 species